UGCAGGUUAAUGUAGGCACAUGUAGGUUUGUGUAGCCUUAUGCAGUCCUGUGUAGGGUUGUGUGGGUUUAUGUAGGCUUUUGUAGGCAUGUGUUUGGCUAUGUAGGCUUGUGUAGGUUUGUAUAGGCUUGUGUAGGCUAAAGUAGGCUUAUGUAUAGCUGUGUAGGCUUAUGUAGUCCUGUGUAGGGUUGUGUAGGUUUAUGUAGGGUUUUGUAGGCAUGUGUAUGACUAUGUAGGCUUGUGGAGGUUUGUGUAGUCCUGUGUAGGCUAAUAUAGGCUUAUGCAGGUCUGUGUAGGGUUGUAGAAUAAUGUAGGCUUUUGUAGGCACGUGUAUGGCUAUGCAGGCUAGCGUAGGU